GGUGCUGGUGGCGUAGGUGAUGCCGAUACCCUUGAUGGCGCGGGGAUCGUAGGCGGGAAUCGCCUGGUUCUUCACCACCGGUACCC
rnacentral:tRNA from 1 species